AAGGUUUUAAGUUAAUUAAAACUAAUAAUCUUCAAAAUUAUUUAUAAAAAUUCAUUUUUUAAGCCUUA
rnacentral:tRNA from 1 species